AUGAAAGGGGACACAUUCAUAUUGACACAUUUAAAUAAGUUUUAUUAAUCGCCUGGUUUAACACGACCUUUUACAGCCGCCUGUAAAAAUGGACGCCAUAACCCCUACCAUAAGGGAGUCUGAGCUGGUUCAUUCUUCCAUUUUGUCCUUUUCUUCUUGAGAUCUGUGUCUCAGACAUGAGCAAAAACAGCUGAUGGACAAUAUAUUUCGUCCCAUAGGGCUACCGAUGUGUAAGUUCUCAAAGGCCUCUAGAAAGGCAUCAUCGAGCUGAGUGACGUCUCUCU